CUGGAUCUGGAAUUCUUAACUAAUAUAACUUGUGUAGGAGUCAAUAAUUUAGAUAGCCUGCAUUACCCAGUGAAAGGACUAUCACUGUAGGGAAAGUAAAAUUUUACCUCUACCCAAAGGGUUUUCAGAUAAGCCUGAGAAUUGAAUUAACAUGUUAUAAAUUACCAGGAGAAAAGUAUUUACAUGGGAAUCUCAAGGAGAAAAGGAAGGCUCAAAGUGUUUAUAUACUUGAUUAAACAAAGAUAUCCUUUUGGAAGAGUACUGAAAGCUAUGGGGAGAAUAAUUGGAGAGAAACGUGAUUAGUCAGCAAAUCAAGAAUAACUCCAAGAGGACCAGCUAAUCAUCAACCAGUUACGGAAGAUGACCUGUCAGAUCUGUAUUUUCUACCUCAGAAGAGAUCAAACAUGGACAGAGGAUAUAUAAUUUGCAGAUCAUUGAAUGUAACCAACUUGAAAGGAUUGCUGAGCUCUGCAUACCUAUGGCAAACAAAGGAGGACAGAAAGCCCCUCUCAGUAGAGGGCAGUCAGACAAUGGAGAGCAGAAGACUCUGGCAUGAGGACACAAUGCUAUAA
rnacentral:lncRNA from 1 species